rnacentral:rRNA from 1 species
UGGAGAUACUAUUAGACUUGAGACCGGGAGAGGUUAGAGGUACUCCCAGGGUAGAGGUGAAAUUCUGUAAUCCUGGGAGGACCGCCUGUUGCGAAGGCGUCUAACUGGAACGGUUCUGACGGUGAGGGACGAAAGUUAGGGGCGCGAACCGGAUUAGAUACCCGGGUAGUCCUAACUGUAAACGAUGCGGACUUGGUGUUGGGUGGCUUUGAGCUGCUCCAGUGCCGAAGGGAAGCUGUUAAGUCCGCCGCCUGGGGAAGUACGGUCGCAAGACUGAAACUUAAGGAAUUGGCGGGGGAGCACCACAACGCGUGGAGCCUGCCGGUUUAAUUGGAUUCAACGCCGGACAUCUCACCAGAGGCGACAGCUGUAUGAUAGCCAGGUUGAUGACUUUGCUUGACUAGCUGAGAGGAGGUGCAUGG